UGGGAAGAGAAAAUGUACCAUUGGUAAGAGAUCAGACACCUGCUUUUGCUAACCUGACUGAAGAAACUUCAAGCCAACAGAGAGCAGUCCUUGCAGAUCCUACAGAUCAAACUGUCAGAGGGAAAGAACUGGGCAAGGAAAAAAACAGGGAAACAGAAAGCUUUUGGAUUAAUAAAGUACUGUCUAUGAACGAGCCAUAUUUUGUAGAUGCAAACAACAGUCAAGAGAGACGAAAGAUGAUAGAAACAAAAAUACUCUCUAAGGUGACCUUAGAGGCACCAUCUGGAGAUGGAGGCAAUUCAGAGCUAAAAACAAAAUCACCGUUGGAGACUAUUAGUGACAAUCUAGAAAGAAUCACUCAAGCAGAAAAUGAGCAAGGAGCCACUUCAGCUGAACACCCUCAAGGGCUGAUGCUCUUUUCAUUGCAGGAUAUCGAGAAGUGGGAUCUAGACAAGAUUCUUGAGGACCUGGAGGAGCAGAAAGACAGUAGAACUCACUCAGAGGAGCCUGCUCUUCCUUCAGAGGAUCAUAAGGCCUUGAUUGCUAGUUCUCAAAGUAGGCUCAUGGAAAAGCUAGAAGAGUUGUGUGCCAGGCAGUCCAAGGCAUUGUCUCCACGCCACAGGAAGCCAUUGGCCACACUUGCUCACUUUCAAGAACACCAAGGAGAUCAGAAAGAAGUUGUCUUCCCAUCACCUCCCUGGAGCUGUCGAAGUAUGGAUCUGCCAGAACUGCAGUGUACAGCAGAGCUCCCAACAGUGUACAUUGAUUUACGGGACGCUAAACCACACAAAUCAGUGUUACCAUCUGUUGAAAAUCAAAGCUUGAAUGACAGCUCCACUGAAGAUGAGGAGGAUACAACACUUAAGGAUGAACAGAAAACAAAGGAGAGAAUGCAAGAUUCUUCCCAAGGACCACGGGAUUGCACUGGGAAAAGCCUGCUGUUGCAGCAACUCCGUAACUUCCGUAAAGAAGCAUCCCAGCCUCUUGCUAAUGAGGCCUCUAAGCAGGUGCUAAGAGAUGAAGGAGUGAGCCAGGAUCUUGAGAGCCCAGAAGAGAUGAGCACCCUGAAAAUCAGGAGAAAACGCUAUCUAAGAGUGAGAGGGGAAGCAAAUAAGGUGACUUCCAAGUGGCUGGUGCGCUCAGACUCACAGAGGGGAAGUCCUCCCUUGCCAAACCAUGUGAAACAUAGAGAUAAUCCUUCAAGGGAAAACCAGAAAGAGACUGAAGACACUCUGUGUUCAGGAAGUGCUCCAGAGCCCCCUCUAAAUAAAGCAGCAGAAUCCCCAAGGGCAGAAGAGAGCCUGAGAGAGUUGUCCCUAAAGAAAAAGCAGAUGAAAUAGAAGCACAGGAGGCAGAGACUCCAGGAGCAGCUGGAGCGAUUACAGCCUCAACACUCGGUCACUGGAAAGCAGCCUAUGGCAGAGAAAACUCCUGUUUUGUUUCACCUGACAGAAGCAGAAUAACUGAGAAUGUUUUGACAUCUGAAACUGAAGAAGCUAUAAUUUGGCAGCUGUGUUGCUCAGAGAUUUGGAAAUGAAAAUAUCUAACACCAAAUUCAUAUAAAAAAUAAAGAACAAACUGGAGUCUCUGAGAGAGUAGCACACUAUCAAAUUUGUUUUCUACAUACUUUUUUUGGCAGCGAUAGACAUGCAUAUUUGGAACAUGGGACUCCUGACCAUCCUAAUCUACAUCAGUAAUUGAAUUGAAUAAUAAUUACAGAAGCUCAGAAUCUCUGCACAAAGUUGUUAGAAAGUAAUACUGAGUUUUUAUACACUGUGUGACGAUUACAUAAAAGGUCUCAUUUCAACUCUUCAAAGCAACAAAAUUCAGACUUAAUUUCAUCACUGUUGCCUUAGCUUAACGUAAUUCAGUCAAACUCUGUUCACAGUUUCUGCUUUCAGCAGAGUGUCAAUAGCAUGAACAAGAAUCGUUAGAUCUGGGGUAACAUUUUCAAAAAUGCAUAAGUGACUUAUGAGA